AUCUCCAGAAACAACUAAAGGGACGCCUAGCACAGAGAAGACAAAGGCUGGUAAAUCUUCCCCUCCGACCAUGGUGAGGCUACAAGGGACUGUAAGUAGUCUCUGUCACAGUGAUGUGAUUUCUGCUAUGGAUAAAAAAUUUUGAAAAACUAA